ensembl:ncRNA Y50D7A.14 ncRNA
CCAAAAAUACCAUCGUGUCAAAACUGGAGUACCGUAUUUGCGGACAGCAAUACAGAAAUUCGGGAAAUCUUUGAGUUUUUCAACCGAAAAUAG